AGUCCAAAAACUCCAAUUAUUGAUGAACUUGUAAGAGCGAAAAUAUUCCUUAUAAGGUUGUUUUUUCACUAAGGAAAUCUGGCGCCAAAGAAGGUCGAUUUGACCUGGCUCCCAGUUCCCUGUAUGUGCGAAGCCAAGUGAGAUGGAUAGAAUGUCAGGGAAAUAAACUGUUUGGAUAGAUAAGAAUAAUAAUGGGCUUGUUUUGCACUUUUGAAAUGGAGCAGAUGCUGGAGGUCAAUAGGUCUUAACACUCCCUAAGAAACUCCAAUACACACUCAUUUUGAAAGCUGAUAGAGUUCGUGCGUAAGGACACACGUCAAACACGGGCAGUAAUGCUAUUGGUCGAAACUUACCAACUUACACCAAUGGAAAUGAGAUUCUAUAAAACAGACUGACACUAAGAAUACAAUGAGAUUUUGGGGAGAAUUUGAGAAUUGACUUUGUACUGUAAAUUGAUCUGUGGAACAGUGUAAUAAAUCUCCACCCGCCGUGGCCUGCAGU